rnacentral:rRNA from 1 species
CCUACGGGGGGCAGCAGUGAGGAAUAUUGGUCAAUGGACGAGAGUCUGAACCAGCCAAGUAGCGUGAAGGAUGACUGCCCUAUGGGUUGUAAACUUCUUUUAUAUGGGAAUAAAAUGUUCCACGUGUGGGAUUUUGUAUGUACCAUAUGAAUAAGGAUCGGCUAACUCCGUGCCAGCAGCCGCGGUAAUACGGAGGAUCCGAGCGUUAUCCGGAUUUAUUGGGUUUAAAGGGAGCGUAGGUGGAUGGUUAAGUCAGUUGUGAAAGUUUGCGGCUCAACCGUAAAAUUGCAGUUGAAACUGGCAGUCUUGAGUACAGUAGAGGUGGGCGGAAUUCGUGGUGUAGCGGUGAAAUGCUUAGAUAUCACGAAGAACUCCGAUUGCGAAGGCAGUUCACUGGACUGCAACUGACACUGGGGCUCGAAAGUGUGGGUAUCAAACAGGAUUAGAUACCCGAGUAGUC